ensembl:lncRNA
GAAUGCCGAUCAGCUGACCUGAAAAGAGGGCAAAUAGCGUGCAUUAUGCAGGUGGCUCCAAUGCAAUUACAAGGGUCCUUAAAAGCUGAAGAGGGACUUGAAAGGAAGAGCUGACAAGAUGGCAAAAUGAGAAGGACACAUUUUGCUGAUGCUGCUGACUUAGAAGAUUGAGGAAUGUGUCAUGAAUCAAGGAAAACAGAGGAACUCUAGAAGUUGGAAUUUCUAGAAGCUGAAAAAUGUAAGAAAAUGAAUUCGCCCCUGGAGCCCCCAGAGAGGAAUGUAGCCCUGCUGAUACCUUGAGCUUAGCCACUGAGGGAGUUACAGAAAUUAAGAAGCAUAUUGUCAUGAUAAUAACUGAAAAAGAACCAGGCACACACUCCACAACUGCAUUUUCUCCUUUACGUUCUGGACGUUAGAGUCUGGGGAUUUAUCUGCGGGGAAGGUACCCUUGAUGUAUUUCUGCUUGGAAUAACGUUUAAGUAAUGUUGUGCCCCUCUCAGAAGAUCACAUUUGAAAGCACAUGAUGUCCAUCUGUCCCCACUGGCGAUAACAAUUUUGAAUACCCAGAGAAGAAGAUGUCUGAUUUCUCUACUGCACAAUUUACUAGUUUCCCCCACUGCAACUAUUAUGCAAUUUGCAGGAAACACUUUUAAGGCAUGGCAAUAUUCUGUAUUCAUUGAAAUUUCUCCCCAAAGCUUAUCAUCCAUUAAUGACUUUUUAUUUAACAAAACUGUCCUAUAUAGUUGGAAAAUGAUAAUUUUUCCAAUUCCAGCACCUGCUCCACAUUCACUAGCUGGCACUUGCCAUUCUAUUGUAAGCAACAGCUCCCUUCUUAUUUAUAAAUGUAUUUAUGUGUUCACAUAUGUAUGUAUUAUCUAUUAAUUAUUGACAUAGAUUGAUUUCUAUUUUCUCAAUUGCCACUAAUUCAUUAUUAUAUUUAAUUAUCUUGGUGUUCAGAUUGUCCAGGUUUCAUCACUGGGCUCCCUUCAAGCUAGCACCUGUGCCUUUGUAACAUGUCCCCAUCACUCUUUGAGAGCUUCCUCUUAAUGACAUCAUAGCACUGGAAACAAGCUUUUCCUUUUAGUGGGAAAUAUUAUCAGAAACCGAAAUCUCUAAGUGCUUGCUAUCCUUAUUCUUUGCUUCUAGGCCCUCUCAGUGGUCAGAGAUGGGAAAUACAUUGAUAUGGAUAUAUGUCCAUGUAUUCAUUGAUCUCUAUCUAUGUACACACACACAUGUGUAUAUAUGUACAUAUGUGUAUAUAUACACACGUGCAUGCAUGUACACAUACGAACACGUAUUUGAGAAAUCAUGAGGUCACACCUAUACCUCCAAAUCUAAUACAUCCACAUAAUAUUCUUUCUUGUAUUCCCUUAUUCCAUAUUUUUAUUUUCUUCCUUUAACACGAAAACUCUUGCUCCCAACAUCUCUACAUUUACUAAUUUUCUGAAUCCUAUAAUGUAUCUAAAAUAAUUUCAGAAUUUCUUUGCUCAUACAACUCAAAAAUGAAAUGUUCUAAAAAGAGCCCAGGACUCGUUAGUAGAUGUCUUCUUCCCUCACCAACCCCUGCCACCCAAGACUGAGAAUAUACAACCAAAUAAUAUAAGUCACUUAGAUAUUAGUUCUUUCCUUUUUUUCUCAGUCUAUGAUAUUCCUUUGAAAAUAAUUAGAUUAAUCUGUAUCAUUUUCUCUCAUUUUUAGAUCCUCCUCCUCAACCAUAAUUAUGGACUUUUUUAAUGUACAAUAUUUUCAUGCAUCCAGAAACCACAAUUAUGCAAAAAGGCAUACUCAGAGAAACAUCUCUCCAUCUCAUAUCCAUUCCGCUCUGUUUCCCAUAACCUCUUCAAGUUCUGAGUGGUGCCUGGCUAAGUGACUUGCAGAUGACUGUGCAACUGUUGCUGAUCUAGAGGGAGGAGCUGCAAGCAGCAGUUAGCCAGUUAGCACAUUGUAUAGAAACUAGUGGACUGGCCUAUUGCAGCUGCUUUUUGAAGCUACCCCUGCGGACAUAGAGGCAGUUGAUGGAUAAAAAGUAGGUCUCCAUGGGCAAUGAAACUGCUCACCAAGGGAAGGACUUCAAUCUAAACCUGAUAAAUAAAACUCUUGUUUUUCUUCUCACGCUUCCUCCCUGGCCAAUGCGUUAGAGGAGCUAGCCACUAAAAAUGGGGAAAAUUAGAGAGGUGUGUGGCCCUCAGUUUCUGGAGCCACACACACCUCUACCUAGGCUGGAGGAAAGGAGAACUUUGAGUUAAGCUUGAGAUGAAAGAUUUUUUUUAAUUCCUUAUGAUGAUAAAUGGGACAGAAUUUAGAUAUUGAACUCAGUCCAUUCCAUUAACCAAAUGUGGGAGCAGAGCUAUGAAAUAUAAAAUAGCAUUACGGAGAAUUUUAUACAGUACAGAUUAAAACAGAGUUGGAGAAAAUUACAGCAUCCAUGACAACCAAACGGAUUUUUGUUUAUAUUCUAGUUAGGAUCACCAACCAUCUCAGUUUGCCUGUGGUUGUCUCUAUUUUAACAUGGAUUUCCUGUGUCCUGGGAAACCCUUAAGUCCUCGGUAAACCAGGUCAGCUGGUCACUCUGAUUCCAGUGAGUUGAAAUUCCUUAAUAAACUAUUUACAUAUGUUUUUCACCUCCCAUUUCAACAUUAUUUUUCUCCAUUUUUUUUCUCCUUCUCUCCCUGUUUUUCCUUUUAUGUUUUCUUGCUCAACACCUAUCAUUAGUCAAACAAGCAUCACGACUUCACUAAACAUGCUGUUGUUCCCUGACUUGAUGCCAUUGUAUAUUUACUUGGUGCUUCCUUUGCCUAGAGUGACCCCUUUCAAACAUGCUAUUGGUCUGUCAACCAUCUCCUCUUUCAAAACUUAGCUUAAAAACAACUUCUCUAUGAAAACUUUCCUAUCUCCCUAACGCCAGGUAGAACAGAUAGUUCUUUCUGUGUAUCCUGCGCAGACUUUGAUUUCAAGAGAUGUGACCUACUAUCGUCCUUUUUGUUUUUACAUGUCUAGAUCCCUCUCAUCCAGUGCCUCUCAAAUUAGGAUCUGUGGUCUAACCCCUGAAAUCGGCAAAUGUAUUUUUAAAACAGUCUAUUUUCUUUGCAAAAAUAAAAUAAAUAAGUAUUUUUACC